UACGGAGGAUCCGAGCGUUAUCCGGAUUUAUUGGGUUUAAAGGGUGCGUAGGUGGUUUUAUAAGUCAGCGGUGAAAGUUUGCAGCUUAACUGUAAAAAUGCCGUUGAAACUGUAAGACUUGAGUGUAAAUGAGGUAGGCGGAAUGCGUGGUGUAGCGGUGAAAUGCAUAGAUAUCACGCAGAACUCCGAUUGCGAAGGCAGCUUACUAAGCUACAACUGACACUGAAGCACGAAAGCGUGGGGAUCAAACAGGAUUAGAUACCCUGGUAGUCCACGCAGUAAACGAUGAUUACUAGCUGUUUGCGAUACACAGUAAGCGGCACAGCGAAAGCGUUAAGUAAUCCACCUGGGGAGUACGCCGGCAACGGUGAA
rnacentral:rRNA from 1 species